GUUCUUCUAGCCUCUAGGUUACCCUCAUCCAUAGGAAUCACAUCUGCAUUCCUGUAACUGCAUAAGGAGAAAGAAGGUGGAAGCUGAGGAUGCUAUGAAAACCCCUUGAGGAAACAAAGGCACCUUGGGGGCCAUUGAGAACUCCUGACGAAGAGGGCUCAGCUGCCAGACCUGCUCAAGAAAGACCUCAGAAAUCUCUAUGGGGCUGUCAGAAGAAAAGCUGGGGGAAGCACAGUGCUGCGUUGUUGGCAGCCCACUGAAAAGGUGGACAACUCAUCGCCAGGAGCUGAAGUCCCCAGCCUAACAACCCAGAGGAACUCAGACUUGCCAACAACCGUGUACAUGAGCUUGAAGACAAACUUGCAACUCCAGUCCAACCUUGAGAUGACCGCAACUUCACGAGAAGCCUUGAGCCAGAACCACCCAACUAAGCCGUCCCCAGAUUCCUCAUACCCAUCACUGUCAGAAAGAGUUUGUUGUAAGCUGCUAAGAAUUAGGAUUCCACAUUGCAGCUAAUCUUCAUUAAACUACCACGUGGUGAAUUUUAAUGUAGUAUCCAAGAAGCAUACUGACACCUUCUCCAUUGUCCUACUAUGUAUCUGUGUAAGGCCAGAUUUUCUUCAUAUACAUUAACCAAAGCAACAUAUGGCAACAGACUGAAUGAAGAGGCAGGUUUCCUGGGACUCUGUUGCAUCAAAUUCUACUGCUAGGCAUCAAUUUUAAAGUAUUUCAUCAGUUGGACCUACCAAAUAUCAAGUCAGGAUUUGGCCAUCUCUGCUCUUGCCAUUCCACCUCUCACGACUCUAUCCUCAAACUCCACUUAAUAGAAACUUGUCAUUUGAAUGAAGACAGAAAGGGCAAGAGUGCAGUGGUAUAAUUUUGAGCCUUUUACAAGCCCACAUCUGAGUUCGAGAUGCCUAUAUGAUAUGAAGGUGAGAUACGCAGCACAUCACCGAGGUUUGUUUUCAAGAGAUUGAUUAAUGCUGGAGAUAGAGAUUUAAGAAUCAUUAGCGGUGAUAGCCGAGGCCAUGAGUGUGGGGAAAAAAUUUAAGAAAAGGGAGCUAAGAAUUGGACGCUAAAGAACAUUAGUAUAAAAGGAUUAGAGAAGUCAGAGAAACUUAGAGAGAUGACUUAGGAGUGCUCUGAAAAGUUGGAGAGAAUGAUAUUGAGGAAGUCAAGACAGAAUAGAGUUUCCAGAAAGAGGAAGUGUCUAAUAAAGAUAACUGAAAAGUAUUCAUUAGUGUAGACAUUCAGUUUAGUUAUAAUCUUAGCAGGAAUAUUAUUUUUAAAGGUGGAGACAAAAUUUAAGUAGUUGAGAAAUAAAGAUAAAAAUGUUGAAAUAGUGAAUUGUGAUUUUUUUUCAUCUAGGAUUUGUCGGUCUUAGAAUUAUAGUCUUGGGUAUAUGGAGACACAGUGGUGAGAAAAAUGUUAACAGUAUCUCUUGUUGGGGGAAUGCUACUGGCCUUGGGGACAGGACAGGGUUCAGAGUGAGGGACUGGUGCCGAGCAUCUCUGACCUUGUCCAUUAGUGGCCCUUGUCAUUGUGAAAGCCAAAAAUUAUCCCCAUUUUCUAAAGUCUGCACAUGGGAGAGUCCAGCUCCUAGUUGAGAAAAGCUAAUACCUGGGUUUGCUGUGACAACAGUAGCAGGAUGCCGCAGAGAGUUUUGGAAUUUUCUUGACUGAAAAGUUUUUUAGAGGUGGAGGUUAUCAGAAGCCUUUCUUUCCUAAUCAAGACGUAUUAUUAGUUUACUGUUAGAUUACUGAGAGCCUUUAUCUUUCAGCCACUGCUCAUAUCUCACAAAAAAGUUUUGAUACUUCUUGCCUGUUUCCAGC
rnacentral:lncRNA from 1 species